rnacentral:rRNA from 1 species
GCCUACGGGGCGCAGCAGUGGGGAAUAUUGGACAAUGGGGGAAACCCUGAUCCAGCGACGCCGCGUGAGUGAAGAAGUAUUUCGGUACGUAAAGCUCUAUCCGCAGGAAAGAAAAUGACGGUACCUGACUAAGAAGCCCCGGCUAACUACGUGCCAGCAGCCGCGGUAAUACGUAGGGGGCAAGCGUUAUCCGGAUUUAUUGGGUUUAAAGGGUGCGUAGGCGGAAUGCCAAGUCAGCGGUAAAAUCGCGGGGCUCAACCUCGCUCCGCCGUUGAAACUGGCGUUCUUGAGUGGGCGAGAAGUAU